CCUACGGGAGGCAGCAGUGAGGAAUAUUGGUCAAUGGACGCAAGUCUGAACCAGCCAUGCCGCGUGCAGGAAGACGGCCCUAUGAGUUGUAAACUGCUUUUGUACGAGGGUAAACGCAGAUACGCGUAUCUGUCUGAAAGUAUCGUACGAAUAAGGAUCGGCUAACUCCGUGCCAGCAGCCGCGGGAAUACGGAGGAUUCAAGCGUUAUCCGGAUUUGUUGGGGUUAAAGGGUGCGUAGGCGGUCGGAUCAGUUAGAGGUGGAAGCCCGAGGCUCAACGUCGGAAUGGCCUCUGAUACUGUUCGGCUAGAGAGUAGUUGCGGUAGGCGGAAUGUAGGGGGUAGCGGUGAAAUGCGUAGAGA
rnacentral:rRNA from 1 species